GGGUGUGAGUGUUUGGUCACCCAGGAGGAAGGGGAAUAAAAUGGGAAUGUUUGGCCACUGCACUUUGCGUGUGGCAAGGUGUUGCUGAGGCACCAUUGGGAUCUCUGUGUUUCCAUGAAGACUGGACUUGGACUAUGAUUUGAAUCUGCUGUUAUCACCUAGCUUGGCUCUCGCUGUGUCUUAUCGUGGACCUGUUUUGGAUGACUGCACCCUCUUCAGACCUUGGACCGGAAUUUGACCUUGCUACUGCCUUCGCCCUGUGAUUGAUGACUACUAUCGGCUUUUGACUCCUGGCUUGCUCUUUGGACACCGCUGUUAUCUCCUGACCUGACCUUGGAAUCCCGGAUGACGUCUUUUCACCAUCCUUUUGGAGCCUUCGGCUUUAUCCACAUUGUGGAAGCAGUCUACUGCAUUCUUAGUUUGUUUGUUUGUUUCCUGACCAAUUUGGUGUUUUCUUUUGGGAACUGUCCCUUUGAAAACUAGAGCCGGCUGGCAGGGCUUGGACUCAGAAAGUGCAGUUUGCACUAAGUUUGUUUAGCUUUGUUUUUACCUGCUUGUGUUGCUGAAUUAUAUUUUUGUUUGAACUGCUCUUGAAGCAUUGAUAGUCAAGUGUUUCAAGGUUUUUUCUGUGUUAACAUUACUUUUUGGCUUAUCUGCUGAAUAAACUCUAUUUUUGUUCGCUAAUUGGCGUCUGACUCUUGACACUUGUGGAUUUCAAUGGCUUCUCUGUGUAGUCUGACAUGGUGGUUGUUAGAGUGGUUCCAGCAUUUCUGUGUUCUCAAAUACAGUAGAGUCUCACUUAUCCAACACUCACUUAUCCAACGUUCUGGAUUAUCCAACGCAUUUUUGUAGUCAAUGUUUUCAAUACAUCGUGAUAUUUUGGUUCCAGAAGCAUUCUCUCCUGACGUUUCGCCCAUAUCUAUGGCAGGCAUCCUCAGAGGUUGUGAGGUAUACUUUCCUGUCCAAGAUAUUGUAAAAAAAAAAAAAAAAAAGGGGGGGGGGAAUGCAAUUUUGUUUUUAAAUCAAGAAGUUUUCAAAAUAGCUUUUGAAAACAUGCAUGUUGCUUAAAUGAUUUCUUCUAAAAUGCAUUGAGAAUUAUGCCAAUCUGUGCUUUUUAUUUGGUUUUAGAAGAAAAUAAAGAUACAGUAGAGUCUCACUUAUCCAAGCUAAACGGGCCGGCAGAAGCUUGGAUAAGCGAAUAUCUUGGAUAAUGAGGGAUUAAGGAAAAGCCUAUUAAACAUCAAAUUAGGUUAUGAUUUUACAAAUUAAGCACCAAAACUUCAUGUUAUACAACAAAUUUGACAGAAAAAAGUAGUUCAAUACACAGUAAUGUUAUGUUGUAAUUACUGUAUUUAUGAAUUUAGCACCAAAAUAUCACGAUACAGUAGAGUCUCACUAAAUCCAAGCUAAACGGACCGGCAGAAGCUUGGAUAAGCGAAUAUCGGAAAAUCCUAUUAAACAUCAAAUUAAGUUAUGAUUUUACAAAUUAAGCGGCAAAACAUCAUGUUAUACAAUAAAUUGGACAGAAAAAGUAGUUCAAUACGCAGUAAUGUUAUGUUGUAAUUACUGUAUUUACGAAUUUAGCACCAAAA
ensembl:lncRNA